AAUAUACUCCCUCCGUCCCAAAAUAAGUGACUCAAGUUUGUACUAAAUUUGUACUAAAGCUAGUAUAAACUUGAGUCACUUAUUUUGGGACGGAGGGAGUAUAAA
rfam:Triticum aestivum genome assembly, contig: Triticum_aestivum_CS42_TGACv1_scaffold_321022_4BL